GUCGUCAUAUCAGGGCUUGUUUCUGAUUGGCCAGUCGAGGAGCUGAGAAACUGUAUAAAAGAGAAGGCAGGACAGCAGAGGAGUACGACUACGAGCGUGAAUACACCGAAUUAUCUGCUUCUGAAGCCAGAAAUCAGGACCAUCAUGAAGAUCGUGUUCGUGUUCAUCGCUGUGUGCUUUAUUGCGCUCUCCUGUGCUGUUCCUGUAAGACCAUCAUGAAGAUCGUGCUCGUGUUCAUCGCUGUGUGCUUUAUUGCGCUCUCCUGUGCUGUUCCUGUGGAGGAUGAGCACGAACGAGAGAAGCGCUCGUCCAGUGGUGAGUCCUACCGAGGAGGACAGUUCCAGCCACCAAUCUUUCCAUACUUCCCCAACGUCAACAACAACGACAACAACGCCUGGAUGAACAUCAUCCUGCCCCUGCUGUUAGCACGCCUCUUCCCUGCCCCCGCUCCUGCCCCCGCCCCUGCAACAGGAAAAUAAGACCAGCGUGUAAUGAUCAUGUUCUGUGUGAUUGUUGGCAGUUCCUUGAAAUAAAGACACGUCCUUGAGCAUA
ensembl:lncRNA